AUUACCCAAUCCUGACACAGGGAGGUAGUGACAAGAAAUAACAAUACAGGUCUAAUGUCUUGUAAUUGGAAUGAUGGCGACUUAAACCCUCGCCAGAGUAACAAUUGGAGGGCAAGUCUGGUGCCAGCAGCCGCGGUAAUUCCAGCUCCAAUAGCGUAUAUUAAACUUGUUGCAGUUAAAAAGCUCGUAGUUGAAUUUCUGCGUUGCGUUGUUCUUGCUUUUUGCUUGAUUUUCGCUUCGCUUUUUGUUUUUACUUUGAGAAAAUUAGAGUGUUUAUCGCAGACUUUUGUCUUGAAUACUUCAGCAUGGAAUAACAUAGUAGGACCUUGGUUCUAUUUUGUUGGUUUGGGACCUUGGUAAUGGUUAAUAGGAACGGUUGGGGGCAUUCGUAUUUAA
rnacentral:rRNA from 1 species